ACGGAAGGCAGCAGCUAGGAAUAUUCCGCAAUGGACGCAAGCCUGACGGAGCGACGCCGCGUGGAUGAUGAAGGCCGGAAGGAUGUAAAAUCCUUUUAUAACUGAGGAAUAAGUAUUAUCAGAGAAAGGAAGUAUGGUGACUGUAGGUUAUGAAUAAGCAACGGCUAAUUACGUGCCAGCAGCCGCGGUAACACGUAAGUUGCGAGCGUUGUUCGGAAUUAUUGGGCGUAAAGGGCAUGUAGGCGGUUUUGCAAGCUUGGUGUGAAAUCCCGGAGCUCAACUCCGGAAUUGCGUUGAGAACUGCAUAACUAGAGUCACUGAGGGGCAAUCAGAAUUCCAGGUGUAGGGGUGAAAUCUGUAGAUAUCUGGAAGAAUACCAAUGGCGAAGGCAGGUUACCAGCAGAUGACUGACGCUGAGGUGCGAAGGUGCGGGGAGCAAACAGGAUUAGAUACCCUGGUA
rnacentral:rRNA from 1 species